rnacentral:rRNA from 1 species
GUAGGGUGCGGGCGUUAAUCGGAAUUACUGGGCGUAAAGCGUGCGCAGGUGGCUCCUUAAGUCAGAUGUGAAAGCCCCGGGCUUAACCUGGGAACUGCGUUUGAAACUGGGGAGCUAGAGUGUGGAAGAGGGGGGUGGAAUUCCAGGUGUAGCAGUGAAAUGCGUAGAGAUCUGGAGGAACACCGAUGGCGAAGGCAGCCCCCUGGGCUAACACUGACGCUCAUGCAUGAAAGCGUGGGGAGCAAACAGGAUUAGAUACCCUGGUAGACCACGCCCUAAACGAUGUCAACUAGUUGUCGGGGAAGUAAUUCCUUGGUAACGAAGCUAACGCGUGAAGUUGACCGCCUGGGGAGUACGGCCGCAAGGCUA